rnacentral:lncRNA from 1 species
CAUACACCCAGGAAACACCUGUGAAGUUAUGUCUCUUUUUACUUCAGGGAUAUUCUAAGCCACUAUCUCUUCAAAUGUUGCCUGUUCACCAUUCCAUCUAACUCCAACUCCAGGUAUUUAGACAAGCAUGAGCAGGCCAGGAAAGGGCCCUCCCUCAUCCACUAGGAAUGUCAGGUGAUGGUUCGACAAUGAUCACUUUGCCUCUCUAAAAGUGAUAAAUUGUCAGCGUGUGCCAGGGAGAGGCCAUUUACUGAUACCCCACAGCUGUUGCAGUAAAGUGUUCAUUGAAUGCAGGCGCCUGGGAGAAGUAACUUCCUGGGCAUGUGCAUGAAGAGACAAAAUGGCGGAGUAUGACCCACUCGGGGCACUCCACAGGAAAAGGGAAGAAAGCCUCAGACCGGCAUGUGCACAGCUUCUUAAACACACUGCCUGUGCUCACUUCCCAAGGCUAAGGAGGACACCGUGCAUCUGGGAAAUAAUGCCCCCCCUGAGGGAAGAAUCAUGGGAAAGGGGCAAGCCUACAAAGUCCUGGGGUCAAGGUUAAACACUGCACCUGACCUCAGUGCCCACUUGGGACUCUUCCAAGCGUACUUUGUUUUCUUCCCUGUUCUAAAGCCUUUUUAAAUAAACUUCCACUCCUGCUCUGAAA